UAAUCGUAACAAGGUCUCCGUUGGUGAACCAGCGGAGGGAUCAUUAUAGAGUUUUCUAAACUCCCAACCCAUGUGAACUUACCAUUGUUGCCUCGGCAGAAGCUGCUCGGUGCACCUUACCUUGGAACGGCCUACCCUGUAGCGCCUUACCCUGGAACGGCUUACCCUGCAACGGCUGCCGGUGGACUACCAAACUCUUGUUAUUUUAUGGUUAUCUGAGCGUCUUAUUUUAAUAAGUCAAAACUUUCAACAACGGAUCUCUUGGUUCUGGCAUCGAUGAAGAACGCAGCGAAAUGCGAUAAGUAAUGUGAAUUGCAGAAUUCAGUGAAUCAUCGAAUCUUUGAACGCACAUUGCGCCCAUUAGUAUUCUAGUGGGCAUGCCUGUUCGAGCGUCAUUUCAACCCUUAAGCCUAGCUUAGUGUUGGGAGCCUACUGCUUUUGCUAGCGGUAGCUCCUGAAAUACAACGGCGGAUCUGCGAUAUCCUCUGAGCGUAGUAAUUUUUAUCUCGCUUCUGACUGGAGUUGCAGCGUCUUUAGCCGCUAAACCCCCCCAAUUUUUAAUGGUUGACCUCGGAUCAGGUAGGAAUACCCGCUGAACUUAAGCAUAUCAAUA
rnacentral:rRNA from 1 species